AGAGCGAACGCUGGCGGCAGGCUUAACACAUGCAAGUCGAGCGGGCGUAGCAAUACGUCAGCGGCAGACGGGUGAGUAACGCGUGGGAACGUACCUUUGGUUCGGAACAACCCAGGGAAACUUGGGCUAAUACCGGAUAAGCCCUUACGGGGAAAGAUUUAUCGCCGAAAGAUCGGCCCGCGUCUGAUUAGCUAGUUGGUGAGGUAAUGGCUCACCAAGGCGACGAUCAGUAGCUGGUCUGAGAGGAUGAUCAGCCACAUUGGGACUGAGACACGGCCCAAACUCCUACGGGAGGCAGCAGUGGGGAAUAUUGGACAAUGGGCGCAAGCCUGAUCCAGCCAUGCCGCGUGAGUGAUGAAGGCCUUAGGGUUGUAAAGCUCUUUCGGCGGGGACGAUGAUGACGGUACCGCAGAAGAAGCCCCGGCUAACUUCGUGCCAGCAGCCGC
rnacentral:rRNA from 1 species